AUCCAAUUGACGAGUUCCAGAUAGGACGAAACGUGCUUCCUGGAU
rfam:Schistosoma mansoni strain Puerto Rico chromosome 4, complete genome